CCUACGGGAGGCAGCAGUAGGGAAUCUUCCACAAUGGACGAAAGUCUGAUGGAGCAACGCCGCGUGAGUGAUGAAGGUUUUCGGAUCGUAAAACUCUGUUGUAAGGGAAGAACAAGUACGUUAGGAAAUGAACGUACCUUGACGGUACCUUAUUAGAAAGCCACGGCUAACUACGUGCCAGCAGCCGCGGUAAUACGUAGGUGGCAAGCGUUGUCCGGAUUUAUUGGGCGUAAAGCGCGCGCAGGCGGUUUCUUAAGUCUGAUGUGAAAGCCCACGGCUUAACCGUGGAGGGUCAUUGGAAACUGGGAGACUUGAGUGCAGAAGAGGAAAGUGGAAUUCCAAGUGUAGCGGUGAAAUGCGUAGAGAUUUGGAGGAACACCAGUGGCGAAGGCGACUUUCUGGUCUGCAACUGACGCUGAGGCGCGAAAGCAUGGGGAGCAAACAGGAUUAGAUACCCUGGUAGUCCAUGCCGUAAACGAUGAGUGCUAAGUGUUAGGGGGUUUCCCGCCCCUUAGUGCUGCAGCUAACGCAUUAAGCACUCCGCCUGGGGAGUACGACCGCAAGGUUGAAACUCAAAGGAAUUGACGGGGGCCCGCACAAGCGGUGGAGCAUGUGGUUUAAUUCGAAGCAACGCGAAGAACCUUAC
rnacentral:rRNA from 1 species